GAGGUCGGGGAGCCCAGUCCCUCCGCUUCGCUCCGCCCCUCCGCCUGGCCCCGCGGGCAUGCGCAUUGCAGCUGCGCAGUGCCGGUUGAAGCUGCUCGGGCUUAGUGACCGGUUAGGGGUGAGGGCGGGCCUGGGUUUCUUCGGAACCUUAGGUUCCUGAACCUUGGGUACCUGAAACCGCAAAUUCAUUGCCUACAGGGGAAAUACCUGGUACCUGGAAACCUGGAACUUGCUUUUUCAAACCCACCUUUCUCGCCAAGACCUCCGUCCCUCCCUGCUGCUGUCUUGCCGUAUAUCCUCCCUCUGUUCCUUCACAAAUGGUUUAGGAGUUUUGUGCAGGAAGAUAAUACACAAUUUCUGUUUUCGGCCCUACAAUACGACUCCGUCGGAACCACUUUAAGAUCCCUUUUUAAAAAUCCCACCUGAAUGGCUUUAAAAAUUUUGUUACUAUUGUUACAAUGUGAGAAUUCGUUUUUCCAUAAUUUUUCUGAUCAAGUACUAUACGUUUCUCAAGCUGGAGUAUGCACAGCCCCAAUUCUGUGCUGAGAGGAUGCAAAACAGCAGACUAUCUGUGGUACAACUGUCUGGAGCAUCAAUUUUACUGUAAGAUUUGGAACAACCGAAGUUACGUAAUUUACAAGGUGGGAACAGCAGGGAAGGUGGUGCUGGGAACUGCAACUAUUGAAGACACCAGUAAUAAAUCAGAGGACUCCAUCCUGCCAAGCCUAAACUUGACCUCACAGUCUUUAUCAGCACUGGGCUCCAGGCAGCUGCCACGAAUGGACGGGUGUUGGGGUACAAGAUCAAAACUACCCUAUGAUGGCAGGCAGCCUGGGAACUGGAUCCAACAGGUACAGUGGAAAAAAUCAGCGGCCCCCAAGAAUAUAUGAUGCACUCCAAGUGAGGACUUGAAUCCCUGGAGUUUUGGGAAGGGCUCAGAGCCAGACUGCUUCAUGUCCUCUCCCUCUGACUGGUUGGGAAUCGAUGGAACAUGCAAACAUAUUAACACUGGCAGCUGUGUGGACUGUGUCAACACAUGGAAGUGCACAAAUGGAGUAUUUUAAAACAGAACACAAUGUUAUAUGUCAAUUGUAUCUCAAUAAAUCUGGGGGAGAAAAGCAGAACCCAAAACAGUCA